UGUAGGUAGAACAAGGAGCAUACCUUUUUUUUUCACCUUGUGUCAAAUGUGCACAAGUGUGUGUUGAGCUCAAGGUUAAACCAUCGGUUCGUGUAAGUUGAUUGAAAGAUGAGAAAAAAGGGUGAACUGAGAGAAGAGUAAAUGUGUCUACGCCCAGGGACAGGCUUGGAGCUUUUGAUGAAAGAGAGAGAAAUGAAGUGUAAUUUGAUAGGGUCCGCACUUAGGCGCGGGUGUGGAACUUGUUGGCAAGUGAGAAAAGGAGAGAUGGAGUGAGAGAAAACGCCGCUAGGGAGAUAGAACGUCACUUGACGGGCCCGCGGUUAAGCGCAGCCAGAGGAACUAUGCCAGAGAGAUGAAACGUCAUUUGAUGGGCCCGCGGUUACGGGCAGAGGAAACGAUGCCAGAGAGAUGAAACGUCGUUUGAUGGGCCCAUGGUUAGGCGCGAGCAGAGGAAACGACGGCAGAGAGAUGAAAUGGGCCCGCGGUUGGGUGCGGGCAGAGGCCUAUAGAAGAGGAGAGAGAGAGAAAGGGAUUUUUACCCCAAACUUUUAACCAUAGGUAGCGCCAAGCUUUUACAAUCUUCGCUUCUCUACUGUAGAUCUUUUGAAGCCAUGACCUCGGCUAAUACGAGCACUCGUACCCCCAAAGCCAAUCCUCCUGGCAGGAUGAACACUCGAAGCUUAAAUAGGGCUUUAACUCUUUGGAAUGAGGCGAAUCAGAUGAUCAACCAAACUUCAGAAAAGGCUACCAUCAUCCCUGAUAACGCUAUCAAGAAGGUCCCUUUAGCAACUAAGGAAGGAAUAAAAUGGAGUUCUACCCUUGUUAUGGGAGAGGAACCAAACAAACACCCAGUUUUUAUGGUUGCCUCUUACUCGGGGCAGGUUAUCAAACCUCUUGGCUAGUGCACCUGUGGAGGCUUUGUCAUAGCGCAAGUCAGGAUGCCCUUCCCUGAUCAUGUCAAAAGGCUCAACCAUCAUAGUUCUAAAAUCUGUACUAUGGACACAUGACAUGAUCUUCUCAGGGCCACUUAUCAACUCUUUGGCAUGGCUUCUCUUUUUUGAGCUGGCUAUGUUUCCCUCUUGUGAAGAAAGCACCCCAUAGAUCCCUUGCAUGGGCUUAUUGAAGGAAAAAAUGGAAGUGACAGAUCGAAGGGCUAGGGAGAUCUUGGAGAUAGAAGACCUGGCUUCUAUUGAGAAUAAUCCUUUUAUUAUGCCUUUACUUAGAUUAUUAUUUGGACCCCCAUCUAUAAUGGACUUUGCCGAGGUGAUUCUGAAAGAGCUCAGAACUGAUUUGCUAUUGCAACAUUUUGUUCAUUCAGAUUUUGAGCCCUUGCCCUUGGACAAGCCUUCGACCUUUAAGCAAAUUGAAUAUCUCGAAAACAAGAGUGACAUGGCGAUUCUUUGAUGCAAUAUCCAGAAAAUACUUAUCAUGGCACGUAAAGCAAAGGAAGACCCAUCCUCGCAUCUGUUAGAUCAUGGGGAAUAUCCUCCUUUGGUCCGGAAUAUUGCCUAUCUCAGCGUGGCAGUUCUGAAGGAUAUGAUAAAGAAGGUGCAACAAGACUUCUAUGGGCUCAAUCAUUGGAAGAAAUACUCCUUGACAUACCCACCUUUAAUGUCUCUGUAUUUUUGUUGCAAAUAUUCCUAUCCCUAGUUUCAGACAGUGAGAAUGUAACUUGUAUAUUCUUUUUUAAUAUGAAAUGAAUGUUUUCUCCUUUUCA